rnacentral:antisense_RNA from 1 species
AGAGCAUGGCUUUUGGAGUGAUUCUGAGCUACGUUUGAAAUCCUGACUCCAGCAUUUACUGGCUGCGUGACUUUGAAACCUCUGGAGUGUUCUAACUGGCAAAAACAAGGGUACUUUGCGGUUUUGAGCCUGGGAAACCAAAAAAAACUUUGGCAAUUGUGUGUCUUCUCACUUCACGCUCUGGAAAACAAGAAGAUUGCUCAGCUUGACUCCAAGAGAUGGGGUUUCACCAUGUUGCCCAGGCUGGUCUUGAACUCCUGGACUCAAGUGGUCCAACUGCCUCGGCCUCCCAAAGUGCUGAGAUUACAGGCAUGGGCCACUGUACCCAGGCUUGAAUACACUUUGGUGAAUUCUGUUUAUAAAAAAUAUAUGCUCAUUGUAGAAAUUCUGGAAAACACAGAAAAGCUUAAAGAAGAAAAUGAAGUGCACCAUAAUCAUACUACCC